rnacentral:rRNA from 1 species
UACGAAGGGGCGUAGCGUUGUUCGGAAUUACUGGGCGUAAGACGCGCGUAGGUGGUUUGUUAAGUUGGAUGUGAAAUCCCCGGGCUCAACCUGGGAACUGCAUUCAAAACUAGACAAGCUAGAGUAUGGUAGAGGGUGGUGGAAUUUCCUGUGUAGCGGUGAAAUGCGUAGAUAUAGGAAGGAACACCAGUGGCGAAGGCGACCACCUGGACUGAUACUGACACUGAGGUGCGAAAGCGUGGGGAGCAAACAGGAUUAGAUACCCCGAGUAGU